CAUAUCAACAUUCAACAUACAUUACAUCUAUUCUAGCGCUAUGUCAGUAUUCCUCGUCCUCCUUCUCUUCCUGGUCCCCUUGACUGAGUCACAAGUUCUGAUCCACUACCACCCCACUAAAGUAAACCGAUGUGGUCCUCGUCACAAGGUUACUGACGAAGAAGGAGUGCAACAUGCGACUGCGUGCAGAGUGGCUCCAGAUCGGGCGUUUAGGUGUUGCUCCAGACAUGGGUGGUGUGGAGAUUCGUCCUACCACUGCUGUCCCACCUGUCCCAAAUACUACUCCUUCACCGCCACCAAGACUUUCUCCAGCAAGUCUGAAUUUGUUACUUACGAGUAUUCUGACGGAGGAACAGUGGCCGAUUGUUCGAAUGCACUGGAAAUGGAUCCAACUAAUAAAGGAUUUAUAAAUUCUGUAGUUUUUCACAAUGACAGCGGACAGGUUUUGAUUGAUGAGUUCACGUGCUUUGCAGAAAGUUUGAUGAUAAAAAGUGAUUUAGAAUGAUGUCUGACUGUUCAGUUUGGAAAAAUUAUGUUUAAACUUAUUUCUUGUGUUUGUAGAUUUGUUAAUGAAACAGUUGAUAA